AGUGAACGCUGGCGGUAGGCCUAACACAUGCAAGUCGAACGGCAGCACAGGAGAGCUUGCUCUCUGGGUGGCGAGUGGCGGACGGGCGAGGAAUACAUCGGAAUCUACUUUUUCGUGGGGGAUAACGUAGGAAAACUUACGCUAAUACCGCAUACGACCUACGGGUGAAAGCAGGGGAUCUUCGGACCUUGCGCGAUUGAAUGAGCCGAUGUCGGAUUAGCUAGUUGGCGGGGUAAAGGCCCACCAAGGCGACGAUCCGUAGCUGGUCUGAGAGGAUGAUCAGCCCAACUGGAACUGAUACACGGUCCAGACUCGUACGGGAGGCAGCAGUGGGGAAUAUUGGACAAUGGGCGCAAGCCUGAUUCAGCCAUACCGCGUGGGUGAAGAAGGCCUUCGGGUUGUAAAGCCCUUUUGUUGGGAAAGAAAUCCAGCUGGUUAAUACCCGGUUGGGAUGACGGUACCGGAAGAAUAAGGACCGGCUAACUACGUGCCAGCCGCCGCCGUAA
rnacentral:rRNA from 1 species